AGAGUUUGAUCCUGGCUCAGGACGAACGCUGGCGGCGUGCCUAACACAUGCAAGUCGAACGAAACUUUUUGCUUCGGUAGAAAGUUUAGUGGCGGACGGGUGAGUAACGCGUGAGGAACCUGCCUUUCAGAGGGGGAUAAUGUCUGGAAACGGACACUAAUACCGCAUGACAUUUUCUGUUCACAUGGACAGAAAAUCAAAGGAGCAAUCUGCUGAAAGAUGGACUCGCGUCCGAUUAGCUAGAUGGUGAGAUAAUAGCCCACCAUGGCGACGAUCGGUAGCCGGACUGAGAGGUUGAACGGCCACAUUGGGACUGAGACACGGCCCAGACUCCUACGGGAGGCAGCAGUGGGGGAUAUUGCACAAUGGAGGAAACUCUGAUGCAGCAACGCCGCGUGAAGGAAGACGGUCUUCGGAUUGUAAACUUUUGUACCUAGGGACGAUAAUGACGGUACCUAGGCAGCAAGCUCCGGCUAACUACGUGCCAGCAGCCGCGGUAAUACGUAGGGAGCGAGCGUUGUCCGGAUUUACUGGGUGUAAAGGGUGCGUAGGCGGCCAAGCAAGUCAGCUGUGAAAACUAUGGGCUUAACCCAUAGCCUGCAAUUGAAACUGUUUGGCUUGAGUGAAGUAGAGGUAGGUGGAAUUCCCGGUGUAGCGGUGAAAUGCGUAGAGAUCGGGAGGAACACCAGUGGCGAAGGCGACCUACUGGGCUUUAACUGACGCUGAAGCACGAAAGCAUGGGUAGCAAACAGGAUUAGAUACCCUGGUAGUCCAUGCUGUAAACGAUGAUUACUAGGUGUGGGGGGUCUGACCCCUUCCGUGCCGGAGUUAACACAAUAAGUAAUCCACCUGGGGAGUACGACCGCAAGGUUGAAACUCAAAGGAAUUGACGGGGGCCCGCACAAGCAGUGGAGUAU
rnacentral:rRNA from 1 species